rnacentral:rRNA from 1 species
AGAGUUUGAUCCUGGCUCAGAUUGAACGCUGGCGGUAUGCUUAACACAUGCAAGUCGAACGGUAGCAGCAGAGCUUGCUCUGGCUGACGAGUGGCGGACGGGUGCGUAACGCGUGGGAAUUUACCUUGUAGUGGGGGAUAGCCCGGAGAAAUCCGGAUUAAUACCGCAUAAUCUCUACGGAGCAAAGUGGGGGAUCUUCGGACCUCACGCUAUUAGAUGAGCCCGCGUUAGAUUAGCUUGUUGGUGAGGUAAUGGCUCACCAAGGCGACGAUCUAUAGCUGGUUUGAGAGGAUGAUCAGCCACACUGGGACUGAGACACGGCCCAGACUCCUACGGGAGGCAGCAGUGGGGAAUAUUGCACAAUGGGCGAAAGCCUGAUGCAGCCAUGCCGCGUGUGUGAAGAAGGCCUUCGGGUUGUAAAGCACUUUCAGUUGUGAGGAAAGGGGUGUAGUUAAUAGCUGCAUCCUAUGACGUUAGCAACAGAAGAAGCACCGCUAACU